rnacentral:lncRNA from 1 species
UGUACUUGAAUCUCUUGAGGUGUAAGGCAAGAAUCAUUGGUAGCUUUUUUACUCGCAUCCUUUUCUGUGCCUCUUGCUUACUGCAGCAGGUUUCACAGUAGUAUUUCUGCUCACUACAUAAUGUCUCUGUGUUACUGAAGUCUCUUAGACAGUGUGUAAUUGAUGUGUUCUGCUCCACAUCAACAGAAAGGUCAAGAAAAUCUUCAUCUUUGCUACUAACAGUUUCACAGUUCAAACAUCUAGUUUCGUUAGUCAGUGUUCCCUGAAAAAUCUCAUGCACCCAGGUGAGUUCUUGCUUAUUGUUCUCUUCAGCUUCGUUCAUGUUGCCAUUUUUCAGUUUCCCAUUUUGCUUUUCCUGUUUCUUCUCCUCCUGCAAAAUGUCGGCGAUUGUAUUCAGCAAGUAAUUUAAAAACUCAUGUGCAUCCUGCUGCAUGUAGUUGUCAAAGAGAUCAUUCUCUUUUCGUAACCUUGAUAUGAACUUCUUUGGUGGAAUAACUCCGACUUUCUUCUUCUGAGUAGCAAUACUGUGGAAAAGAUCUGCCAGGCAAGUCAAGAGAUUUUCCUUCUUUUUCUGUUGGGCCUUGUAUGAUAACACAUUUUCCCGAAAUGGCCGGCAAAAGUACAAUGCCUGCAGCACGGAGUUACAGUAGCAGGUGUUCCCAAACUGCCAUGUAAAAGCAAAAACAAUCUUCAUCUCUGUACAUCACAAGGAACUACUCAACAUCUGUCUUCUGUGACACAGCCAUUUUGCCUGGCAGCUGCCGUAGGAAUAUAUUUCCACAGCCACCCCAACAAUGCAUAGGAAAACACACGAAAUUAUGGUGUUCUAAAUUAAGUAGGAUAUAAUGUAAAAACUCCACUCACAAGAAAUAUAUUUAUUGCAAAGGAUCUCCUUAAACUGACUUCCAUAUAUCAGUACAUUCCUGCUAGGCUCCAUCUUACUGCUCAGUAGGAGACCUUGGAGAUCACUGUAUCUAAACUUUUAUACACUUCCAUCACAUUCUAUCAAAAAUUAAAGAGACUAUCCCUCAUAUUUUAUAGGUAAGAUAAAUUUGAUAAAGCUAGAAGUCUAUGUUAUAACCACUGGAA